UUGGAGGGCAAGUCUGGUGCCAGCAGCCGCGGUAAUUCCAGCUCCAAUAGCGUAUAUUAAAGUUGUUGCAGUUAAAAAGCUCGUAGUUGAAUUUCGGGGUUAGUAGGUUGGUCAUGCCUCUGGUAUGUACUGGUCUCACUGAUUCCUCCUUCCUGAUGAGCCGUAAUGCCAUUAAUUUGGUGUUGCGGGGAAUUUGGACUGUUACUUUGAAAAAAUUAGAGUGUUUAAAGCAGGCUCACGCUUGAAUACAUUAGCAUGGAAUAACGGAAUAGGACGUUUGAUUCUAUUUUGUUGGUUUCUAGGAUCGACGUAAUGAUUAAUAGGGAUAGUUGGGGGCAUUAGUAUUCAAUUGUCAGAGGUGAAAUUCUUGGAUUUAUUGAAGACUAACUACUGCGAAAGCAUUUGCCAAGGAUGUUUUCAUUAAUCAAGAACGAAAGUUAGGGGAUCGAAGACGAUCAGAUACCGUCGUAGUCUUAACCAUAAACUAUGCCGACUAGGGAUCGGAUGAUGUUAAUUUUUUAAUGACUCAUUCGGCGCCUUACGGGAAAC
rnacentral:rRNA from 1 species